rnacentral:rRNA from 1 species
UUAGAGUUUGAUCCUGGCUCAGAACGAACGCUGGCGGCGUGGAUAAGACAUGCAAGUCGAACGAGAGAAUUGCUAGCUUGCUAAUAAUUCUCUAGUGGCGCACGGGUGAGUAACACGUGAGUAACCUGCCCCCGAGAGCGGGAUAGCCCUGGGAAACUGGGAUUAAUACCGCAUAGUAUCGAAAGAUUAAAGCAGCAAUGCGCUUGGGGAUGGGCUCGCGGCCUAUUAGUUAGUUGGUGAGGUAACGGCUCACCAAGGCGAUGACGGGUAGCCGGUCUGAGAGGAUGUCCGGCCACACUGGAACUGAGACACGGUCCAGACACCUACGGGUGGCAGCAGUCGAGAAUCAUUCACAAUGGGGGAAACCCUGAUGGUGUGACGCCGCGUGGGGGAAUGAAGGUCUUCGGAUUGUAAACCCCUGUCAUGUGGGAGCAAAUUAAAAAGAUAGUACCACAAGAGGAAGAGACGGCUAACUCUGUGCCAGCAGCCGCGGUAAUACAGAGGUCUCAAGCGUUGUUCGGAAUCACUGGGCGUAAAGCGUGCGUAGGCUGUUUCGUAAGUCGUGUGUGAAAGGCGCGGGCUCAACCCGCGGACGGCACAUGAUACUGCGAGACUAGAGUAAUGGAGGGGGAACCGGAAUUCUCGGUGUAGCAGUGAAAUGCGUAGAUAUCGAGAGGAACACUCGUGGCGAAGGCGGGUUCCUGGACAUUAACUGACGCUGAGGCACGAAGGCCAGGGGAGCGAAAGGGAUUAGAUACCCCUGUAGUCCUGGCAGUAAACGGUGCACGCUUGGUGUGCGGGGAAUCGACCCCCUGCGUGCCGGAGCUAACGCGUUAAGCGUGCCGCCUGGGGAGUACGGUCGCAAGAUUAAAACUCAAAGAAAUUGACGGGGACCCGCACAAGCGGUGGAGUAUGUGGCUUAAUUCGAUGCAACGCGAAGAACCUUACCUGGGCUUGACAUGUAAUGAACAACAUGUGAAAGCAUGCGACUCUUCGGAGGCGUUACACAGGUGCUGCAUGGCCGUCGUCAGCUCGUGUCGUGAGAUGUUUGGUUAAGUCCAGCAACGAGCGCAACCCCUGUUGCCAGUUACCAGCACGUGAAGGUGGGGACUCUGGCGAGACUGCCCAGAUCAACUGGGAGGAAGGUGGGGACGACGUCAGGUCAGUAUGGCCCUUAUGCCCAGGGCUGCACACGUACUACAAUGCCCAGUACAGAGGGGGCCGAAGCCGCGAGGCGGAGGAAAUCCUGAAAACUGGGCCCAGUUCGGACUGUAGGCUGCAACCCGCCUACACGAAGCCGGAAUCGCUAGUAAUGGCGCAUCAGCUACGGCGCCGUGAAUACGUUCCCGGGUCUUGCACUCACCGCCCGUCA